rnacentral:rRNA from 1 species
UACGAAGGGUGCAAGCGUUAUUCGGAAUCAUUGGGCGUAAAGCGCGCGCAGGCGGAUUGAUAAGUCAGGUGUGAAAUCUCGAAGCUCAACUUCGAAACUGCGCCUGAAACUAUUAGUCUAGAAUGUCGGAGGGGGCAGGGGAAUUUCACGUGUAGGGGUAAAAUCCGUAGAGAUGUGAAGGAACACCGGGGGCGAAGGCGCCUGCCUGGACGACUAUUGACGCUGAGGCGCGGAAGCGUGGGGAGCAAACAGG